CCUACGGGUGGCAGCAGUCGAGAAUCAUUCACAAUGGGGGAAACCCUGAUGGUGCGACGCCGCGUGGGGGAAUGAAGGUCUUCGGAUUGUAAACCCCUGUCAUGUGGGAGCAAAUUAAAAAGAUAGUACCACAAGAGGAAGAGACGGCUAACUCUGUGCCAGCAGCCGCGGUAAUACAGAGUUCUCAAGCGUUGUUCGGAAUCACUGGGCGUAAAGCGUGCGUAGGCUGUUUCGUAAGUCGUGUGUGAAAGGCGAGGGCUCAACCCGCGGACGGCACAUGAUACUGCGAGACUAGAGUAAUGGAGGGGGAACCGGAAGUCUCGGUGUAGCAGUGAAAUGCGUAGAUAUCGAGAGGAACACUCGUGGCGAAGGCGGGUUCCUGGACAUUAACUGACGCUGAGGCACGAAGGCCAGGGGAGCGAAAGGGAUUAGAUACCCCUGUAGUC
rnacentral:rRNA from 1 species